rnacentral:lncRNA from 1 species
AGUAUAAAUUUGAUUUGGGGGCUAUUCUUUUUUUUUUUAUAUAUAAAGGACUGUUUAUUUUUCCACUGUUAACCUAUAUGUCAUUUUAAAAAUGUUACUAUCCCUUAUUCUCUUUGGGGCAAAACAGUGAAAUUUAAUCAGUGAAUACUGAUAUAAAGAAAGAAAUAGGAUACAUAAAAAUUCUUUCAUUCAGUACAAAAGGCUGUACUUUGAAAAGAGUUACUAAUUUUACCAUUACAUGGGGAUGGGGUAGUCUACUAAAUGUGUAGAGAACGUCUCAAAUUUAGGGCAUUUGUUCUGAUUUCACAAAAUUCUAGGUAUUGAAAAACCCACUCCCACUAUGGGAUCUUGGGAGGAUAAAAUAUUACGUGCAUUCGCGAACACAUUUGGAGCCAACCUUCUGGAAUUCACCACCAACCCCUGGUUAGAUUCUGAUAGGAUUGGAAUGGAAAGUGAGGGCUGAGAUGGGGUGCGAGGGGCGCCAUGGGGGGGAUCAUGUCCAUGUGGGCUGUAAGACCGGGACAGUUUAGUGGUUUCUGCCAGGGGGGAGCUCUGGAGCAGCUGGUGAGAUGAAAGAAUCCUAGAUGCAAAGAUGAUGGGACAUGAGGAUUCUGUUAGGGGUUAUAAAUUGGUAUUCUGUGAGAGAAACGCGAUGCAGAUUCUUUAAAUAUUUCUGACGGCAGGACCAGGUAUCUCUUAGCUCUUUGAGGGCUUGUGUCCUGCAGGUUCAUUUUGCACUGAAGGCUGGCUGAGAACAGCAGACCUCUUCCAGUAUGGAGGAGACCUGCCUUCUAUCCUGUGCACAUGAGACUGAUUUGGAGUGGAACUUACUUAUGUCCAUCCUUGCUCAAUUUUACCAGUUGGCAUUGACCAGGUUUUUAACCUAUCUGUAAUUCCUAUCAUUUUUUAUUAUUCUUGGAAGGUACCAGUCUUUCCCCAUUAGUCUACACACACACACACACACACACACACACACACACACAGUACAUAUACAGAAUGUUUAAUCCUUUUUAAAAAGAAAACUGGAGUUCCCUGGUGGCUCAGCAGGUUAAUUAUCCAGCAUUGUCACUAUAGUGUCUGGAGUUGCUGAUGUGAUACAGGUUCCAUCCCAAGCCUGGGAAUUUCCACAUGCUGUGGGUGC